GACGAACGCUGGCGGCGUGCUUAACACAUGCAAGUCGAACGGAAAGACCCUGCUUUUGUGGGGUGCUCGAGUGGCGAACGGGUGAGUAACACGUGAGUAACCUGCCCUUGUCUGAGUGAUAACUUCAGGAGACUGGGGCGAAUACCGGAUAGGAGCUCCUGCUCCAUGGUGGGGGUUGGAGAGUGUCGGCGGUUGGGGAUGGACUCGCGGCUUAUCAGCUUCUUGGGGUGGUAGUUGCUUACCAAGGCUUUGACGGGUAGCCGGCAUGAGAGGGUGAACGGGCACAAUGGGACUGAGAGACGCCGCAGACGCCUACGGGAGGCAGCAGUGGGGAAUAUUGCACAAUGGGCGGAAGCCUGAGGCAGCAAUGCUGCGUGCGGGAUGAUGUGCUUCGGGUUGUAAACCGCCGUCGCCUGUGACGAAGCGGGAGUGACGGUAAUGGGUAAAGAAGCCCCGGCUAACUACGUG
rnacentral:rRNA from 1 species